rnacentral:lncRNA from 1 species
CCGCAAGAGGGUUCCCCCUCAUCACUGACACUGCAGGUGCCGUGGAUGCAAUAGUUCUGACAGACUGACACAUCGCAUCUCUCGCCGAUGUAGCCAGGUGCACAUGUGCAAGAUGUGGCAUUAGCCUUCUCACCAUGAACACAAACAAUUUUGUCGUUUAGUAAUGCAGUCAUCACAUCUUUACAUUCCACUUUUCCAUGAAUUUGUUCUUCAGUCGUAUACCUGGCAACAAUGCCGGAGGGCGCCUCAGUAAAAUGU